rnacentral:lncRNA from 1 species
UUUACAGUUUACAGAUUCACAUGAGAAUACAAACAUAGUAAUUUACAGUUUACAGAUUCACAUGAGAAUACAUACAUAGUAAUUUACAGUUUACAGACUCACAUGUGAAUACAUACAUAGUAAUUUACAGUUUACAGAUUGACAUGAGAAUACAUACAUAGUAAUUUACAGUUAACAGAUUCACAUGAGAACACAUACAGGCAAUAAACCUCGUGACUGGGGUGUAUGUGGUAUAGGGUUUAGUCAGCUUCUUAGUUUACAGAGACACAUGAGAACGGUUCACAAUGAGAACACAUACAGAUGAUAAACUGCGUGAUUGUCAUGCCAGUUAAAAAAUAAUCACGCU